AGCGGAGCUUCGGUCUCCAGCUUGUUGACGGCUGUGUCCAGUUAUGCGUCUUGGGGCUAUAUAUGUUUACUAAGAAAGUCUCACUGUUACUCCCAAAUGAGUGUGCGUAAGAUUGCAGCCUCGGUAUGGCAAUAUAAAAGCUGUCUCCUAAUUCUCUAUUGCGAGGAGGAACAACAGCUUGCAAAGGAACUUGAAAAUAAGAUGUCAGCAGAAGAGAAGCAGUGCAGAUUUCAGUUGGGAGGAUAGUCCACAACCUGGGGUCAACAGUAGAGAAGUUUCUGUCUCAUAAACCUUCUUGCUUCUUGAGGAGCUGGAACAAAGAGCAGAGCCCCCCCGCCCCCAAUGAUUUUAUAAGAGCACGGGCCAGUUUAUAUGCUGAGUGGAAUCAAGCAUUAAAGAUUCCCCUUUACCAGUUCAGGCUGCAGACAGAGGUGUACAGUGCUGGCUCAUUACAUUUUGCUGCCUGAAGAAAAGCACCAAAUCAUGCCCUUCCCAUCCUUCUCCAUUUGGCGCUUCCCCUCUCCAUUAAAAGCAUGCUCUCA